GACAGAGGUGGCGAGCGUUGUUCGGAUUUACUGGGCGUAAAGCGCGGGUAGGCGGUUCGGUAAGUCAGAUGUGAAAUCCCACCGCUUAACGGUGGAACGGCGUCUGAUACUGCCGAACUUGAGUGCAGGAGAGGAGGGUGGAAUUUCCGGUGUAGCGGUGAAAUGCGUAGAGAUCGGAAGGAACACCAGUGGCGAAGGCGGCCCUCUGGACUGCAACUGACGCUGAGACGCGAAAGCGUGGGGAGCAAACAGG
rnacentral:rRNA from 1 species